UACGAAGGGGGCUAGCGUUGCUCGGAAUCACUGGGCGUAAAGGGUGCGUAGGCGGGUCUUUUAAGUCAGGGGUGAAAUCCUGGAGCUCAACUCCAGAACUGCCUUUGAUACUGAGGAUCUUGAGUUCGGGAGAGGUGAGUGGAACUGCGAGUGUAGAGGUGAAAUUCGUAGAUAUUCGCAAGAACACCAGUGGCGAAGGCGGCUCACUGGUCCCGGUAUGACGCUGAGGUGGCGAAAGCGUGGGGAGCAAACAGG
rnacentral:rRNA from 1 species